ensembl:lncRNA LINC01206 long intergenic non-protein coding RNA 1206
UGGCAGUUGAGAUUCAGACCUUGACAGUUGUAACCGAUAGACUGGGCUGGGGCAACGCUGAUGAAAGGCAAAUUCCUGAGAGAAAAAUCACCCAGAUUUUUCAGUGCCUUCUCUAGCUUUCUAGAAGUUGUUAUGAGUGGACCUGACUACCUAGAGAGAGUAAUACAGAAGCUCCGUGCCGAUCACAGCUACCUCAUUACCAUGUUCCUCCAAGAUGGCCGCCCCUGAGGAGAAUCAUCAACUGGGCUUUACGGAAGAGAGAAAUCCAAACGACCAUCAGCAACAAAUGAAAGACUGAAGUUGAAAGUUUCAAGAUUGUCAAGAAUGACGAGUUGGACUUGGUCUAGUUACUUCCACAGCAGCAGGAGGAACAUGUGUGUGACUCAGGAUAACUGGGGAAGCCUUGGCUAGGCUUUCCUCAUGUCAACCUACCACUCAAAGGGAGAAAACCUCCUGAUCAGAGGAAAUCCAUAAUUUUUGAAUGCUGGCCGAGGUCUGUGACCUCUGACUGAAUGGUUUCCAAGCUCCGAAUUCCUAGGUGAUGUUUUCAUUUGUUCACACUUGCUGAAGAAGGGAAAGGCUCUCUGAUUUACGUGUAAGCAAAACAAUCUAAACAGUAGGAUAAAAUCAUGUUGGAAUGGAGUUCUGUGUGGAUGCUCCUUUGAACCAAAUCAGUUCCACAACUGACCCUGUCAGGGACAUAUAAAUUUAGCAUUUUGGUGUGGAUACAGAAGACGAGAUUAACACAGAUCAAGUAACAUGGAAAUAAAAAAGGAGACAAUGCUGGAUGAUACAGGGGCAGCCAACAAGAGGAGAAAACCCAAGCAUUGGCAAAUGCCUCAUUAUCCAAAGAACACUCCUUAUACUCCUGAGAAUUUGUGGCAGUCCUGGGUUAAACGAUGAAGGCUUCUUAUUCUCAUGUAGGUCUCACAGCCUCUUGUCUCCCUGAGUUUUAAACACAUUGCAUUACCUUUCCAGAGGGGCCUCAGAGUAUGUCAGCUGGGGUCAGACGGGAACAGGAGUCUGGCUCAACACACAUUUAUUGCACUCCUGUUUCAUGCCAAGAAAUGUACCAAAAUCUGGGACUGUGUAACACAGCAAAGGAAAAGACUCAUCUCCAGGAAGCCCCCUUGUCUAGGAAGAGAAAUUGAAUAUCAGCAUAAGGUGGUGAAAAGCUGUGAAGGAGAUGAGUGCCAGGAGUCCAUGGAGGAAGGAUUCUAGCCUGGACAGAGUCUCCAUGAAUUGCAAGGGAAAACAAGUGGUACACUGGUAUUUCUAUUUGAUAACCUGUUCUCUUUGGAAUUCCGGUUAGAAAUCAAAGGCUUACUUGAGUUUUAAUGCUUUCGGGACUUCAAAUGCUUUUCUAUCUUCCUAAUAAUAUAUUAACAUUUUCUGAAGACAACAUAUAUGUGGAAAACAACAUUAUUUACUCAAAUAA